rnacentral:misc_RNA from 1 species
AUCGUGCAUUUAAAAUUUAAAUGAACGAGUGCAAAAUGUUGUCUUAACGACGACAUUGCUAUAUUAGACAUGCGCUUGAUGGCGGGCGUCUCAUCGAUGCCCGACCGUAGUGUGUCGCUGUGCGAUACGCGGUCUCCGGACCGCGUUGUGAUAUCGGCAUCUCGUAUGUCGGGAGCUACCGGUGUUUAUCACCGGCCCAACUGUGCGAUACGCGGUCUCCGGACCGCGUUGUGAUAUCGGCAUCUCGUAUGUCGGGAGCUACCGGUGUUUAUCACCGGCCCAACUGUGCGAUACGCGGUCUCCGGACCGCGUUGUGAUAUCGGCAUCUCGUAUGUCGGGAGCUACCGGUGUUUAUCACCGGCCCAACUGUGAGCUACCAGUUCAACUCGUUUGUUCUGGCCCGUCGUGGCGGUCUACGUGUGGAGACAAAACGCCCGAUGCAUCCUGCUCCGUAUCACCCGAUGCGUGAGCGAAUAAUGGAGAAAGGCGCGUAACUGCGUGCUCCUAAAUCACUACCCGAACGUGUGAGUACGCGUCUCGCGAUUAAUAUAUUUAUAUACGAAAGCGGACCGUUGGAAUAAAUCACUCCCGUUCGAAAUAUAGCAACGAAGAUAAUUCCGUCCUACAGGUGUCCGCAUUGCGCGGUCCCUGGGCGAAUGUCCGCCUUUUGACCGACAGAUUAGUUUCUGCGGUGCAAGAGUUGAAGCGGCUUUCGUUUGCGCGCCGCGAGCCAGUCUCGCUAGCGGAUUAUCCGAGAGCCACACAACUCCAAUUUUGGAACCAGCCAGAGGCGAAAGCCGACGGUGUAGUAAUUGAAACUGCCAAACAUGCAUG